rnacentral:rRNA from 1 species
UACGAAGGGGGCUAGCGUUGCUCGGAAUCACUGGGCGUAAAGGGUGCGUAGGCGGCCAACUAAGUCAUACGUGAAAUCCCUCGGCUUAACCGGGGAACUGCGUCUGAUACUGGAUGGCUUGAGUUCGGGAGAGGGAUGCGGAAUUCCAGGUGUAGCGGUGAAAUGCGUAGAUAUCUGGAGGAACACCGGUGGCGAAGGCGGCAUCCUGGACCGAUACUGACGCUGAGGAGCGAAAGCCAGGGGAGCAAACGGG